rnacentral:rRNA from 1 species
GCCAGCAGCCAUAUCACCCUGUAACUCACAACUGGCAACCCACUAAAACUAAGCAGGGCUGAGUCUGGUCAGUAACAGGUUGGAAGACCUCCUGGGAAAGCUAUGGUUGCUGCUGGAA